UACGUAGGGGGCAAGCGUUGUCCGGAAUCAUUGGGCGUAAAGAGCGUGUAGGCGGCUUGGCAAGUCUGACGUGAAAGCCCGCGGCUCAACCGCGGUAGGUCGUUGGAAACUGCCUGGCUAGAGUCCGGAAGAGGAGAGCGGAAUUCCUGGUGUAGCGGUGGAAUGCGCAGAUAUCAGGAGGAACACCAGUGGCGAAGGCGGAGCUCUGGGCCGGAACUGACGCUGAGGAGCGAAAGCGUGGGGAGCAAACAGG
rnacentral:rRNA from 1 species